rnacentral:lncRNA from 10 species
AACGCCAUUUUGUACGGAAGCUACUGGGGCAGGUGAUGCCUACCCAGUCUCUCUCCUCUGUUGAACAAAGGAUCUGUUAAAAUUGGAAGGGCUUAACGUCUUCUUCAGAAAAGUGACGCAUUUGUUACUGGGAUGGUAUGUUUGUGUUUUGGUUUUGGCUUUGAAGGGAGAAACCUCCAGAACUCUCACAAAUGUAAUAUGGGACAUCGAAUUUUCCUUCUUUAGUAUCCUGCGUACUGUUUUUCUGCUAAACGAUAACAGUAAAUAGAAGGAAAGACACUGUAUUUAAAUAAUGUAGUCUUCAUUAGCAGUGCACAUUAUCCUAUAGCCACUAUAAUAAUUUUAUGUACCCUCCUUUUUUUUUUUUUUUUUUUUUUUUGUAGAUACUGUCUCCCUACAUUGCCUAGGCUGGUCUCGAACUCCUGGGCUCAAGCGAACCUCACAACUCGGCCUCCCAAAGUGCUGGGAUUACAGGCGUGAAUGCCCAACCUAUGCCAUCUUUUAUAGCGAUAACCACAAUACUUUUUGUUUAUAUAUUAAAUCGUUCAUCCAAUCAGUCUUUAUUAGCAAUUAUAUGUGAGGCAGUUAAUCUGUGCUACAUGCAUGCUUUUCCUUUCUCAUGGAAUGUGUAAAACAGAAGGAGAAAUGAGAUGUGCAUAAAUAACCAAUAUAAGGUAUAAUAAUAGCUACCAUUUGUUGACUUUGUGCUCACCUGUUGCUAGGAACUUUGCAAAGCAUUUUACUUAUUUUUUCUCCUUUAAUCCCCAUAACAACCCUGUGAGGCAGUACUAUUAUUAGUGCCGUUUUACAUAAAAUAGAAAAAGGUUAAAUAACUUCCUCAAGGUAAUUCAGCAAGUAAGCACCGGAGUUAGGAAUCAAACCUCAUAUUUCUGAUUGCAGAGCAUGUGGCCCCAUCCUUUAUACUAUAUUGCCUUCAAUACAGGGGCAAAUGUUUUAAAUUCCAUUGAAUGAGUACCCAUGGGGGAAAUUUCCAGCUAUUAUAGAGGAUUAACUCCCUG